CGCGAGAAUCGUCUUGCGAACCCCUGUACAUUUGUCGGACUAAAGUAAAUGUGUGUUUGUCUGAGACCUGUCAAGCUCCCGUGCUGUCAAUAACCAAAACAUAAUGAAAACGAUGAAAACAAGUGAUAACACGGGCGCAUCGAAACCAAUUUUCUGUUUCGAUGUGAAAAUCACUGAAGUUCUUUGUAGCAUGUGACAACUAACCAAGACGAGUGUUGUUAUUUGUCCUGCUGAAAGAUCAGUGCCCACCGCGAUUGUUUUCAACACUACAAAGAACUUCAAGUUCUUAGCCUCAAAGACGUUUGGAAAUGCAGAGAAUGGUUCCUGAAGACUGGAGAACAGCAUCUGCAAAACCGGAGAGGCUCUUCUUUCGAAAACUGGACGACGCGAAACUAGUUGCAGCUGACCGUUUUACACGCAAACAUACCUGCACCGUAGGGUCGUACGCGAGCUAGUGCUAAUGCAUGUCCCAAAGGUUUUCACGGUGGAGUACGUCGUCCCGAUGUAUAGCAGUUCGUUGGCUCCGUCUGUAAAUAACCCACAAUUCUCCCGUAAGUCCAUCUCAUUAUAUUCGAUGGCAAUUGGUAAAACUCCGAUACGCAAUUGAUCCGAAGUGUUACGGGGGGGAGUGUUACGCGAGAAUCGUCUUGCGAACCCCUGUACAUUUGUCGGACUAAAGUAAAUGUGUGUUUGUCUGAGACCUGUCAAGCUCCCGUGCUGUCAAUAACCAAAACAUAAUGAAAACGAUGAAAACAAGUGAUAACACGGGCGCAUCGAAACCAACUUUCUGUUUCGAUGUGAAAA